GACGGGGGAUGCAAGCGUUAUCCGGAAUCACUGGGCGUAAAGCGUCUGUAGGUGGUGAUGCAAGUCACUGGUGCAAAACUCUGGCUCAACCGGAGGAAAGCCAGUGAAACUGCAUGACUAGAGUGUGGGAGAGGUAGAAGGAAUUCCCUGAGUAGAGGUGAAAUUCGUAGAUACAGGGAAGAACACCGGAGGCGAAAGCGUUCUGCUGGAACACAACUGACACUGAGAGGAGAAAGCUUGGGGAGCGAAUGGG
rnacentral:rRNA from 1 species